CUGUGAGACAGGUGCUGCAUGGCUGUCGUCAGCUCGUGUUGUGAAAUGUUGGGUUAAGUCCCGCAACGAGCGCAACCCUUAUCCUUUGUUGCCAGCGGUUAGGCCGGGAACUCAAAGGAGACUGCCAGUGAUAAACUGGAGGAAGGUGGGGAUGACGUCAAGUCAUCAUGGCCCUUACGACCAGGGCUACACACGUGCUACAAUGGCGCAUACAAAGAGAAGCGACCUCGCGAGAGCAAGCGGACCUCAUAAAGUGCGUCGUAGUCCGGAUUGGAGUCUGCAACUCGACUCCAUGAAGUCGGAAUCGCUAGUAAUCGUGGAUCAGAAUGCCACGGUGAAUACGUUCCCGGGCCUUGUACACACCGCCCGUCACACCAUGGGAGUGGGUUGCAAAAGAAGUAGGUAGCUUAACCUUCGGGAGGGCGCUUACCACUUUGUGAUUCAUGACUGGGGUGAAGUCGUAACAAGGUAACCGUAGGGGAACCUGC
rnacentral:rRNA from 1 species